CCUCAAUUAACCACAAGUUAAUGUCAGACAGAAAUGUCAGGAACUUAUUCUGCUGCUGGAGAACAAAGUACUGUCUCAUGACUGAACAAACCCUACAGAGGCAUGAGAGGAAUGAAAUCUAUGAUACACAGACCUCUGGGACAAUCUGCGUGGAGAAUCGUGGUUUUUCCAGUGUGGCAGAUUUGACAAACAUAAAAGCUGCCAUCAGUGGCCGAUCCUCCCCAGCAGCUCGGCAGGUUAAAAGAAGAAACAGAGAUCGGGUGGCUGCUGAGCGUGACACUGUCCACACUGCCAUUUCAGCUGACCACCUGGAUUGGAGGCCGACUUUGUCAAUAAAGUUGAGGUUAAGUAACACUCUUCUGUUAGCGGUACUUACUUGUGUUUGUCAGCAUUUGCCUGUAACAAAAUGAGCAGAGCUUUCAACUGUUUUCAGCCCAGUUAAUGAAUCAGGAGAAUCUCCAGCAUAAGUUAUCACAUUAAAAGAAACGCACACACUGAUGCAGGACAAGUAAAGCUUCUUGCAGCUUUGAUUUGUUGAGGCAAGCAUGUCAUUACUGCACACUCUUAGUUUCUCAUUGUUACAUGUGGAGCGAAUUUUGCAAAAGACGAAUGAAACACAAUUGAGUCUUAUUUUGGAGAGUAGAUGGAAAGCUUUUUCAGUAAUGCAGCUUCAGUAUUGUGUUUUUGUGACAGACAGGUAUAGUUUGAAGCAAGUUGUUUGUGUGUUUUCAUUGUAGCAAAUAGCUUUGGAUCUUCUAGCUGAGUUUCAAUAGCUGAGUAAUUGUACACGGUGCUCAACUUCUCUUCCAAUUCAUGUGCAAAAUGCAUAAAUACAAUAACUAUGCAGAGGCAGAAAAACACUGUAAUCAUGCAAUAACAUCUCCAACUGUAUGUGUGAUAGAAUUCAAAAUGCUAUUGGGAUUAUAGUUCUUAACCAUUGGGAUGUAAUGUGAACUGUUGGCAGAAAUGACUUAUUUCAUUAUACUGUCCCAAAUAUACACAAUACUUCAGCGAGAGGGCCGCUUCUUCCCUAUCCCUGCCCAAUUUGAACUGUUUUCCCCAGUUGUUCGAAGGAUAGGCCUGCAAUUUUUUGAAGUGACUAUUAUUUGCCUUUCUCAAGGAAUCAACAACUUGAAAGUACAGUGCAAUGAAUUGUUAGGCUUCGGCAGCUGCAUAUUUACUAUUUGCAAUAUGUCUCUUCUAUGAAACAUCUCAGAGUUUAGAGCAUAAAGCCUUUAUUUAAUUUCCUCUUGGAAGUGAACUGCAAGCCUCUUCCUAAGUGAAAAGCAUUUACCAUGCUGCUUAAUAUUUUGUUUACAGCAGGGUGCUAAUGGUGUUUUUCUCUUAAACCAUUAGGACAUUUGAAACAACACAAAGUGUCCCGUGUUUCUGCAUUCCUGACACAUUCUUGCCCUUGAUCAACUGCAGAAGGCAGACAAUAGCGCAGAUCAUUUUCCCCAGGCAGGGAAACACAGCAUGGAUCAACUCAAUAACCUGAUAUUCCCUCACUACUGAGUGUGGCCAAUUUAGCAGAAGGUCAAAUGUGACAACAGCUUCAACUUCCUCAGACGUGAGUCGAGGGGGAAAAACCACAAGUGUGGGUGCUCAGUAUUUUCUUUUGGUGACAAGAGCUGGCCUUCAGUGUUAUUCAGCCCAUUGGAAACAAUUUCAGAUAUGAAAGGAGACGUUUUGUAUCUGAAAAUGUACAUUAAAUGGUGUCAACAACAUCCCGGAGGUCAGAGUAUAGUCCCCAUGGAGACUGAAUCUGGCUGCUGCGCUCAAAGACUCGACACCCCCCUGAGUGGCGGCUCUGUGAUGGCUCUCAGUUUCUCUCGUCAUGUCCCUGGCAGCUUUGACACAGGGAGCAAAACAAGGACUCUGAGCUGCCACCGGGCACUGGACUCAUCCAGGGCUUUCAGCCUUCAAGAGGACUGAAGUCCGCCUUUAAGGGGCCCUGAGACGAGCUUGCGGUGAGGGAAGUAAAAGGAAGCGGUGUGUCGGCGGGGACCACAGGCUAUUGCUUAGUUGACUGGUAAUCAUAAAUCGGAGGGCUUUUGUACUGAAAGUGUUGGGGGGAAUGCAGUUUGUGAGGUAUUAAUGCAUGAAAUAGCAUUUCAAGCUGAUAAACGGUUCGCAGAAUGGUCAGUCUGCGCAGAUUGUUCUUCCCUCUUUCUUUUUCAUGAAGGCAUAUUGUUUGCAAUAACAUUUACCAGGAGAAUUUAUUCCACUUCAUCUCAUGUUUUCCUGCCAGACAGCUUGGUAUUGCUGUUGUGGAGGGAGGUGGCCUGUCAUACUCAGCUGUAAUAUUCACUCCUCCUGCCUGUCCUCUUUGGAUUAUUGUCUUUUCAUAUUAGACUGUGUUGAAUUGGCCACAAUAUGAGCUGUCAUGCAGUCACUUAACUUGGCCCCUUCAAUUGAUUUCUUGCUACGUCUCCCAUGUGGUUGUUAAAAUCAAUUAACUAUAAGUAACUGGGCAACAAAACGCAUUUGUAA